CUGGCGACGGAAACCAGACCCAGAGCAAACCGCGACCGCCCCCUUUGACCGGCAGCUCCAGUUACCAAAUCCAGCCGGGCUUUCAACGGACCUGUUGCACCAGGGGACCUUCCUAAUAUUUGUGCUCAUGUGGGACAUCAUCCCUCCGUGGACUUGCCAGCCAUGCCUCGAUGGGAGAAAGUAAAGAAUGUACCAAAAGAAAGAAAAUCAGCAACUCACGUGGGAUGAUAGGUCCUUCCAGCCAUAUGGACCAAUCAGGGAUGUCCCCAGCACUGCUGGUUUCAGAUGCCUUUAAAACAGCCCGCUGCAGGAUGAUGUCAGUUAGCUUUGUGUCCAUCUCUAAUGAGUAAACUCACCACAUUUCUUCUUCCAAACAGAGCCCUGUUACACUCCUCUGUCAUCAGACAGCCACAUACAGGGAAUGUUCUAAAAGCUGUGGACACUUUAAAUGAUUUCUUCUUUGCUUUCUGAGAAUUUUUCUAUUUCCUAAGGUACUUUUACAAUUAUACACAGUUGCAAAAUAACUUUAAAAAAUAAACAAUCAUUUGUUAAAACUGGAGGGCUGCAAGUUGCAAAUUGGGUAGGAUUGUUACAUGAAGCUAUUACACACACACCACUUUGUGGCAGUUUGAUUAAUUUGUGUCUCACUUAGAUCCCCCAUUAAUUAUGGGUAACUUCCUUUCCUUCAUGAGCUGAUUUUGCAGCAUUUUCCUUCUCAUUGCUUUACUAAGCAAACCUUGCUGAGCUGUAGAGUAAUUUGACUGUACUUGUAUAUCUUUGAAGAGAUCUAGGCCAUAAAUAUUUCAAGUUCUCAUCUUUGUGGGGG